GCUAAGUGGCUAACGUUGCCCUUCACGGGCGACGUUAGCCAUUUAGCACUUUCCAGUCCACAUGUAGCCUGUUUCGAUGGAGCUUAAUGAAAAGUGAUUGAAGAGGGCAUGGGGGCCGAAUGACUGGAGGCAACCGCGAUGGUCGCCGCUGCUGGCGCGGCUCUGAUCGCCACAGUAUUCUGUGUUAAGAAACUCUAAGCUCGGAGCGAGAAUCGAAUGAUUCUUAAUAUAUGUAUGUCCUGCGACUUCACCCACGUGACUGAAGAGGAGCAGUCAAGCGUGUGCGUCGAAUGACUGGAGGCGACCGUAAAGAUAGCUGUCGCUGGAAUGACUCUGAUCGCCACGGUAUUCUACAUCAGGACGUGCAAAGCUUGGGAGGAUAACCAGGGGUUCACCCUAACUUGGUACCGCGGGCUGAUGCAGUAUACAACGCGUCCAGCGCCGCCGCCACGCGUGCUGGCGGGCUGUGAUCCCGCGGUACCGCCGGAGCCCUGACCAGCCGAUCAACACUCGUUCUACGCUCGUAUAAAGUGGAAACAGUGAUUGAUUGUGACUGGAACGAAACUGGACUGGACUGUAAUGUGAACACACAUGUUUUAUCACAUGUCAACACACAAUGUAUCGAACACACAACACGAUGUGGAUAAUUGACUAAUUCUUGGCGUAUAAUAUUUGUAAUGUACUAUGUUUAAAAUUAAUUGUAAACCUCACCUUGUUAGGAUUAUAAACGACAAACCUGAACUUUAUAAUACGACUAUCUUAUAUCGCAUGUGUAUAUAUUUAGCUUUUUUUUUUGUAGUCGUUCCUAUUUUAGAAUUAAGUUGAUAUUAAAAAAAAAACAUUAAGAAAUGCAACCCUCUCUAAGUCUCACAGCACUAUAAAUGACGUAUUUGUAUUACUAUUGUAUAUUGUAUGUCUAUGUUAUAUAUUUUUUUUUG